rnacentral:rRNA from 1 species
UAAGGAAUAUUGGACAAUGGGCGAAAGCCUGAUCCAGCCAUGCCGCGUGUGUGAUGAAGGCCUUAGGGUUGUAAAGCACUUUCAAUCGUGAAGAUAAUGACGGUAGCGAUAGAAGAAGCUCCGGCUAAAUUCGUGCCAGCAGCCGCGGUAAUACGAAUGGAGCAAGCGUUGUUCGGAAUCACUGGGCUUAAAGCGUGCGCAGGCGGUCUUGCAAGUCAGAAGUGAAAGCCUGGGGCUCAACCCCAGAAUU